CUCUUCUGCGUCGAAACACUCAGGGCAAACAAUUUCUCACUUUGACACAGGAUCCUAAGGCCCCAUAAAGCCUGUGAAAAUACUACAGAUACUGAAGAUAUACAAAAGAUAUAGGUACUGUAGAAUGAAAAAAAUAGAAUAAAGAAGAAAAAGAUACUAAAGAAAGAAAAAAUAGAAGAAAGAGGAUCUAAUAAGAAAAGGCGCUUUGCACAAGUUGUAAAAAACAAGAAGACAACUCAUCUGCGCGCGAAAAAAUUGUAAAAAGAAGAAUGUAGAAGAAAUAAGAAGAAGAAAGAAGAAGAACAUGCGUAAUAAUAUAGUUAUUGCUAGUUUUUAGCUUUUCAAUUCUCAUGAUACGUUCACGAUCAAUCCAAUCCAAACAAACCCGAAAUAUAGGAAUUACCGGCCGGGUAAUUUCGCCUCGGUGUUUUUAAGUGUUUUUGAAAGGAUGUCAGGUCAUCCGGGAAUCCUGUCGAGUCCCAGGUUAACUGAUUAGGGCGUUGGUCCUCUUCAGUGGUUGCGACGCUGCCUGCGGCUACAGGUGUUAGAUUGUUUCCUGAAUGCUAUCACAAUAUCAACUGUUAAACAGUCUCACCACAAUCAUCAUCGUCAGUCGAUAGCACGGUCUUGCUCGUCAGAAUCUCGUGGCUCCGUUCUGUCCCCUACGUCUUCCAACGCUGCACUUUCCGGGUGAGAUUGCCAAUCUGGAAACGGGUCGAAUUAGAAGAAAGGCGAUCGAAAUUUAGGUUAGA